AGCAUAGCGAUUUGGGAUAAGUCCCUUGGAAGAGGGCGGCAUGGAGGGUGAUACUCCCGUCUCUGCUCAGGUUGUCUGUGUGUACGAUACGCUUUCUUUGAGUCGAGUUGUUUGGGAAUACAGCUCAAAGCAGGUGGUAAAUUCCAUCUAAAGCUAAAUAUUGGUGCGAGACCGAUAGCGAACAAGUACCGUGAGGGAAAGAUGAAAAGAACUUUGAAAAGAGAGUUAAAGAGUACCUGAAACUGUUGAAAGGGAACCGUAUCGUUUCUAGUGUGUAUCCUAUGCAUAUUUCAUUGGCGGUUGUAAAAUUGCUGGUGCCCUGUGUAUGGGUGUGACGUCAGAGUCAGUUCGUAUGCUGCGGGAAAUGGAUGUUGAGGAGGUAGGCUAGUGCUUGCAUUAGCUGUUAUAUCUUGAUGUUCUAGUAGUCGUGGUUGAGACUGAGGUGCC
rnacentral:rRNA from 2 species